CCCGGUUUGCGGGGUCUCCCGGGAAGCCAGCCCCACAUUUUCUAAGGAGCUGUAGCUUCUAUUCCUCUGCAGCGUCAGCCUCCCCUCGGCCAUUGCCAAAGGCACUUAGACAGCCCAGCCCGGGGCAUUCACAGAAGAGCCGAGUCAUCCCUUAUGAGGCCACAUGCACUCAGUGGUCCCCGGAGCCUCUGUCCGGAGGUCAGGGGGCGCCUGGAAAUUCUGGGAGCAUACUGCAGAGUCAGGGGGUGAAGCCCUGCUCUGCGGCCGGCCGAGGCCUGUGGGGAGGCAGAGAGCCAGUGGCUGCGUCAGGAAUACUCAUUCUCGGCUCUGGAGAUAUCCAAGUGGCCAGUGUGAAGCUGUGCCCCACCUCCCGAACUCCCCACCCCCAGUCUCUCUGCUGGUCAGGGAAACAAAUUUGCUCUUCAAAUUUGCUGCUCCAACGUUAACUGCAUUUAGAUAAGCUGGAGGAGGGGUCCUAAGGACAGAGCGUGAUACGUACUUGUCCUCAGAGGAAGCAGAGGUUUACCAUUGUUCUGUCAACUUGACCAUGAAGAGUGCAUCUGGCCAGACAACAUGAUGCAGCCUGGAAUUGCCAUCUCUCCUCCUGGGAGGUUUAUCCCUCCCAUCUGCUACAUUUCACCCAAAUGAGGAUGCAGAUCAGAAACAUGUUGCAGUAUGAGCUCUCUGCAGAAUUGGUGUGUGCUCCAUCUUUGAAUGUAUCACUCUCAUCACAGUGCCUGGUAUACAGCAGUUUCUCACUAAACACUUACUAACUCAUUUAAUAAAUGACUGAGUGAGCCA
rnacentral:lncRNA from 1 species